UACGGGGGGAGCAAGCGUUGUUCGGAUUUACUGGGCGUAAAGGGCGCGUAGGCGGCCACCGCAAGUCGACUGUGAAAUCUCCGGGCUUAACCCGGAAAGGUCAGCCGAUACUGCGGGGCUAGAGUGCAGAAGGGGCAACUGGAAUUCUCGGUGUAGCGGUGAAAUGCGUAGAUAUCAGGAGGAACACCGGUGGUGUAGACGGCUCUCUGGACCGUAACUGACGCUGAGACACGAAAGCGUGGGUAGCAAACAGG
rnacentral:rRNA from 1 species